UUUUAGAAUUGACUGAAUCCCUUAGAGUUUUGUUUAGUGAUUGGGUUUCCUUUUGAGUAUAAAGCUUGAUGAUGUGCUUUGGGUUUGAAAAAUUGGGGCUUUUGGGUACAGCCGAAUGUGUUUUGAUUAAGUAUCUGCCUGUAGUUGUUGUGUGGUGUUGUCUUUGACAUCAGUCCAAAAAUUAUGUUGCUUGGUCAUGAGCUCAUGAUGUAUGCUAAAAAUCAUUAUGAAAUUUCUCCCUUUUUUUUCCUAAUUUUUUUAGGUAUCUGUUCUUUUUCUAAAUUUGGAUUGACUAUGCAGAUGGGUAUUUUGCUGGUGGAUAAUAUAUUUUGUUUCUUGUAGUUCAUUUUAAAGAUAUAAACUGUGGCUCUUGAUAGGUAAUGAGGUGUUAGAAGUUGACAGUAAGAAUGUAAAAGCUCUGUACAGUGGUAUGGUUGAAUGGCAUGAUUAAAUGGAUGCUAUACCCAAUAUGGGAAGCUGCUGCCGUUGAUGAAUGGUUAUACAAUGGCGGUCCUUAUGAGCUAAUUGUUCUAUCACCAAGAGCGAGAAAAGGCAGCUGUUGGAGGUGGAGGGGGAUUAGUGCUAAAUUUUAGAUUGUUUUUUGUUAGUGUAGACCACAUGUUCUCACUCUUGUAUAAGUUCUUUAUACAAGUUCUACCAUUUUGGUGAAAUCUUGUAGAAAAAUAUAUGUUUUGGAUAUAUGUAGAAACUUUGUUAAGUUAGUGUGUGUGCUGUGCUUAGUAGUGUGUGGGUGGUGCCUAGUAGUGUGAUGAGGUGUGCCUGUUGUGGUGAUAAAGGGUGCGUGUACUUGGCUAUAUUGAGGCAUGUGCAGUGCAGGUGCAUGAUGUGAAGCUUAGCAAGUGAUCAGAUAGUGAGAGUUAUACAAAAAAGAGUAACCAUGUCGCCAGGAAGCUAGAGAAGC